CAAAUAAACAAAAACCAAAACAAACUCAACACAAACAGACAACGAAUGACAAAACAAAGUCUAAACAAAACAACCCAAAGAAAAACCCAAGACAAACCCAAAACACACAAUAAAAUCAAGAAACAGCCCAAAAUACUCUAACCAGCAAAAAAAACGUCAAAAGGGAUACUCUAAAGCCUUCUUGCUCCAGCUGGAAACCAAUAAAUAAACCCCCUUGAAAGCAACAAACGUUAAAAAUUAAUUAUCAUCCAUCAAAUCAUCAGCUAACCGUUUCAAAAACCCCCCAAAAACUUUCUUGAGUACUUCACCUUUCUUUAAUGCUCUUUCAAAAGUUAGAUUUCAAAAACCAAUUUCUUCUUCUUCGUCAACCCUCCGUCCUCUCAGUUCUCCCAUGUUCUCCAUCCUCCUUCGGUCCUCAGCCACUAGACCCGUCGCUCCAGGCGGUACCAAAUUCUCCAGAUAAGUUGAUUCCCUCAUUAUUAUUCCUUCAGAUGCAAUUAUAUGCGCAACCUUAUUAGCUUUUCUAUUUGUAAAAAGGAAAACACAAGUCUGAAAACCUAAACUUAGGCUUUUAGAGUCCUUAAUAAACGCAGUAAUCUCAGAUCUAUCCUCUUGCUCCUUUUGUAGUUUACGAAUCACCGACCGCGAAUCCCCCUCGAUCUUUACCUCCCUCAAACCAAGGUGUAUGCUAAGUUGCAGCGCUUGAAAAUAAGCCACCGCUUCUGCAACAAAGACAGACGGUAUGUUUGAAUUCAUUACUGUUUUUAAAAAAAGAACAUCCGCUUUAGCAUUUCGGAUAACUAACCCAGAACACAAUUCUUUUUUAUGUUUGUUGAAAGCGGCGUCAAAAUUAAUUUUAAGUCUCGUUCCUUCUGGAGUAACUGACCUCACUACACAAAGCCGCUCAACAGUGAUAGAUGUUCUUAACCCAUCUAGUUCCUGUAUAAAUUUUUUUACAAAAACCGCGAUUUGAGCACCCGUUUUAACUUCACCUUCAUGGAUAUAUCUGUUUUUGGAAGUCCAAAUCGCCCAUGGUGUACAUACUAUGACUCUGCAAAUAGCUGUAGAUCUGGAUUCAAAAAUAAGUUUUAACCACUCUCUGAAAUCAGUAAUUUCAACUGAACGAGACCAGCUUAUACUCAAGGACUCCAAUGUUUCCUUUACUGUAGGACACUCGCGGAACAAAUGUUCCCUCAUUUCCACUUCAUUUUGGCACCGACUACAAGUGGCAGAACCCCUCAAUCUCCGGUAGUGUAGAUUACUAAAAGCAGGAAGAAAGUUUCGCGAAAUCGCCAAAUUGUAAUAUUUAUUUUAGAGGGUAGAUCUAGAUUCCACAAAUUUUUUUGUAAAAUUGAUUGUAAUUUUCCUAUAUGUCAUUCUGAUCAUCAUGUAAAAGGAGUUUAUGUCUACUCCGAACCAAAAAUUCCCCAGUCAACUCACCACACCAAAUGACAAAGUCGUCGUGCUCAUUCAACGACAAGGGAAUACAGAGAAUCCUCUCUACGUCCUACUCCGAAAAGGUAUUAUAGAUCAACUCAGAUUUCCAUUUUUUAGCGUUAGCAUCAAUUAAAUCAACAACUCUUAGAACACUCAUAUUGACAUUCGUGUUCUGUAUUCUGAAUUCAUCAUUUCCAGGGAUCCAUGCGUCUUCCCAAAUUGAGACUAGUCUGCCAUUUCCUAGCCUUCUGCCUAGCCCCUUCAAGAGAAGUCCCUUAGCAGCCUAAAUGCUCCGCCAAGUAAAGGAAGGUAAAUUUCCCAACCUGGAGUUUAAAAAAUCAAACUCUUUAUAUUAUUUGGCUUUUAAAGUAUGCGCUAGUAAAAAGUUAGGAUUACGUAACUAACGCCAACCCUAUUUAGCCAAUAAAGCGAUAUUAAAAUAAUUCAAAUUACAGAAACCCAUACCACAUUCUUCCUUAAGCGCGCAUAAGGACUUCCAAUCACACCAAUGCAUGCCUCGCUUUCCUUCUUUUUUCCUCCAUCAAAAUGACCUCAUGAUAUUUUCCAAUUCUAAACAUAACAAUCUUGGUAAAAGGAAAGAAUCCAUAGUGUAGGUAGGAAGUGCUUGCAAAAUAGCUUUUAUAAAAACCUCUCGACCCCCGCCUUAGACUCCAAUUGUUGAUCCUUUGCUUCAAUUGAUCUUUCAAAUUUUGGAAAGCCAUUUUUUUCUUUCGACCCAUCGUAUUAGGAAGACCAAGGUAAUUCUCUGGAUUUGUCGAACACCGAACAUUAAGAAUCUGGAAAACCAAAUUCUUAUCUUGAUCCUCCAUAUUCGAACUAAAAAACACCGUUGUUAUUAACACACUGCCCCGAGCAAGACUCAUAUUCUUCAAGAAUAUCCUUCAGCACACAGAUUCCUCUAUUUGAAGCCUCCCCAAACAAUAUACAGUCAUCAGCGAACAUGAGAUGGGUUAUAGGUGGAGUUGAUCUACAUACCUUAGCUCCCAAAAAUUUUCCUUCCUGACUUGCAAGUCUCAUUAACGCAAAAAGCCUUUCUCCACAAAACAGAAAUAAAUAGGGACUCAAAGUAUCCCCUUGGCGCAAACCCCUAGAAGACCUGAAACUUGACCCUUCCUCUCCAUUUAUUAAAAUAGAAUACUGGACCGAAUUGACACAUUUGAGGAUAAAAUUGAUAAACCUACCUGCAAAACCCAUUUUAGUCAUGAUCCCUCUAAUGAAAGGUUACUCCACUCUAUCGUAGGCCUUACUCAUGUCUAAUUUUAAGGUCAUGAAACCUUUUCUACUAGCUCUUUUAUUCUUAAAAGCAUGAAAAGCUUCAUAAGCAAGUAAGACAUUAUCGGAAUAAGUCUAUCGGGAACGAACGCACUUUGAGCAUCAUCAAUACACCCAUCUUGAAGUCAAUUAGCCACUGUUUUGCCGAUAAUCUUAUAAAUAAUAGUACACAAACUAAUGGGGCGAUAAUUUUUCAAAUUGGUAGGAUUAGCAGUUUUAGGAAGCAACUCCAAUUGAGUCCUAUUUAUUUCUUCCAAAGAAUUGCCAUUAUUAAGGAUAUCUCAACAAAAGUCACAAGUAUCCUUACCAAUGAUGUGCCAGUACUUCUGGUAGAAAAUUGCCGGGAAACCAUCAGCACCUGAAGCUUUUGUAGGCCCCAUUCCUUUUAACACCUCAAUAAUUUCUCCCCUAGCAUAAGUGGCCAACAAAAUUCGAUUCAUGCUUUUUGAAAUACACGAAUGCACCCUAAAAGGUAUGUGAUCCAUAUUCCCUAUUCCUCUAGACAUAAAAUGAUCAAAAAAAUACCCCUUAGCAACGGGCUCCACCUCCCUACUAUCCAUAGCAAGAGAGUCGUCAGAUCUUUGUAGACCUCAAAUCUGGUUAACAUGCCUUCUCUAGGAUGCGUACUUAUGGAAUAAUGCAGUAUUUUUAUCACCCAUUUUCAGCCAAUUAGCACGAGCAUGUUGUUCCCAAUACCUCUCUUUUUUAUCUAUCUCCAUAUUUAGAUGGAGUUUGACCUCGACAAUUUUACCCAAAUUCUCCUCCGAUCUCUCUUCACAAUUUAAUUCUUCCAACCUCCUAUUAAGCCGAUUCACCUCCUGAUUUCUUUUAUGCCUGAUCUUGCCUACCCAAACUUUCAAGCCUUUAGUAAGAUUCACCAUGUGAUUUAAGAAAGAGCCGGAACUUUCCUCCCAUAGCUUUCUAAUCUCCGCCUCACAAGAUUCCUCUAGAGUCCACCAAGAUUCGAAAUGAAACCUGUACGGUCUUCUUCCUAGAUUCAAAUCUUAUUAUACAUUCCCUUUUGUUGAUUUUAAAUAAAAAUAUAAAAAACAUCCGACAUACUAAUAUAAUUUAUUUUAUAAAAAUAAAAUAUUUAAUUAUUUUUUAACUAAAUUAAUUUAUCAACCAAAAGUUUAAAUAUUUAAAUAUUGUUACAGAAACUCCUUUUGAUGGUAUAAAUUCUAAGCCUAAUCAAUUAAAUUAAAACAUGUAAACUUUUUAUCAUAUCUUUCACUUAAAAUAUUUUACUUUAGUUUUCGUAUAUUCAUAUUUAAAUAGAGGGAAAACUAUACUAUUAGUCACUAAGUUAUGGAUAAAUUUUUGUUUUGGCUAUUUAAUUAAAAAAAAGGUUACCUUUUAGUCUCUAAAUUAUUUAAAAAUUUUCAUUUAAAUCAUUAAACUAUUCAAAAGUUUUUAUUUAAGUCACUAAGUUGUUAAGCUUUUUUUCUUUUUAAUUUUCACCAACAAACACCAAGCUAUGAUUCGAUUAUUGGUACGGUGAAUCAAUAUCCAUCGAUGAGUAAAAGAACAUACCUUAGAUUCAAGUCAAUUUGAUGGUUAGUGUUAUAAAUCGAAGAAAAAAUUAUUUGAAUUUUGGUUUUCAGAUUCAUAAUUUCCAAAGAUGUUUCAUGAAAAAAAAUUGAACUGUAUAAGAGAAGGGGAAAGAGAGCUUUUGACUUGUGCAAGCAGUAUGAACAGAGAAAGCCAUAUAACAUCAAUUUUAAUAGUAGAGUAACUUAAAUGAAAAGUUUUGAAUAGUUUAAUAACUAAAUUGUAACUUUUUUAGUUAAGUGGCCAAAAUGAAAAUUUGCCCAUAGUUUAGUGACUAAUGGUGUAAUUUACCCUUAAAUAUAAUAUGAAAAUAAUGAAUAUAUAUUAAUUUGAUUGAUUAAAUUUAUAAUUUAUGUAGUACAAAAGAGGAUUUGUUUACAAAAUUUAGGUAUAUAGUAUUUAUAGUAGACAUUGUAGCAAAGUAGAGGGGAGAUUAUCUCAUUUAUCUUUUUUUUUAUAUAAAGUUUAAAAUUAUUCAUAAUCUCUCUCAACCUUUAAAUAGAAGGACAAAUGUGCUUCAACGCGCUCAAAGCCAUGUCUUUUCUACAUUGACAAUAAUAUUGAUACUAACCGAGUUAAGGGUCAAUGAAUGUUGGUAACAUUUAUGCUUAUGGUGUUGAUUAUAACUAUAACUACUCCUCAUUGUGUUUAUUAGUUUUUUUUUUAAAGGUAAAUUCAUUAAUUCAUUCAAUGAAUGGAACCAUAUAAUUCAGAGAAAAAAAUAACAAACAUUCGUCGUAGAUAGGGAAGAACAAAUUCCAUCAAUACAGUAAAGGCUUUAACCUCAACAUUAAUAGAACAUUCUGACACGUUGAUAAUUGGCUUUGUCACAACUCAAGCGCAACAUAUCUGGAGCGAUUGCAAGCACUAAACAUGAUAAGAAAAUCAACCUUGGAUGGUCCAAAAUGGUGAGUAAAAAUCGACAAAAGAAUCGAACAUUCACCAAACUAUAGAGGACGACAACAAAACCAUCCCAAAAAUCACUUGUAAAACUAAGAUUACAUAUAUAAGUAAGGUUAAAAACCAUGUUACAAGAGUAGAAAAAAACUUCUGAAAUUGAAGACUUAUUAAAUAAUGAAAAAACAAAUAAAAAAAUCAUAUAAAACUUAAGCCAACACAAGUCCAAAUCGACUCAUGAAAUCAUUUAUUAUUUUUAAAUAUUCUCAACAUAGAAACAAAUUAUGAAAUUGACGAAGAGCCACCCACUUUUCAAAAAAAAUUAUUGUUUGCCGGUGGAGUUUUAAUGAACAACAGACAUUGUCAUCUAUCCAUCAUAACUUGUAAAUAUAAUAAAGAUAUCCAUAAAUUAGAUUUGCAAACUGAAAAAAAAAAAAAAGAAAAGAGUUGGUGGGAGAGGGAAAAAUGUGGACAAUAGCCAACCUGAAAGCUGGUACCGUCAUGAGCAAAACAAAAGAUAAGAAACAAAAUGGUUUGAAGGUUUACAAGUAAUUUUUAGAUUUAUUAUUAUAAACAUAAUUUUAAUAUAUAUAACUCUUUGGCGUAUAUAUAAUAUAAAUCUAUAAAAUGCAUACCAUAUAAUCACACAUUUAUAAUUUUAGCAUAUAUAUACACACUAAAGAUGUUAGUUUAUAUAUCAAGUAUUUAAUAUUACAAAUAAAAAUUGUAAAUAAAAUAUUAUGAGAGAGAAAAUAAUAAUCUUAAAUGGUCAUUUACUUUUAAUUUAAUUUAAUUUAGGUUUUUUUUAAAAUUCUUAUUUUCUUUUUUAAUAUCCAUAUAUCAAAGCCCAAUUUUUGAACACAAAAUAACUAUAAUACUAAAAAUAAAAAGAGAAGAAUUUUGGAAUUGAAGGUUUUAUGAAAACCAUAUCUUGAUUUAAGCAUGCCAUCCUUGAAUCCUUCCCACCUAAUAAUCACAAUAAUCUUAGCCUUUAUUGUCAGUAAAUUUUGCAUCUUGGUCAUAAAUUAACUAUUUCUAUCCCUUCAUUAAAAAAAUUAGUAUGCUAGUGUUUUAAAAUAAUUUGUUUAAUAUUUAACAAAUUUAGAUAUCAAAUUGUAAAAAAAAAACUUAAAUAUUAAAUUAAAAAAAAUGUUAAUAACUGACAAAAAAAUGUUAAUGUAGGAAAUAUGAUAUUAAAAAAGCAUUUAAAGCGAAUAGAUAUAAAAUUGGUAGAGACAUUUAGCAGGAAAUAGAAGGAUUAAGAGCAGUGAAACAAAUAGGAUUAAAAGUAAAAAACAAAAAACACUUUAUUGAGUUUAAAUAAUAAUAAUAAUAAUAAUAAUAAAGAAAACAUAACUAAAUUCCUUUCUUCUAUGGAUUCGAUUUGAUUGUGUUUCUAUUAAAAGCAAAAUAAAUAAAUUGAGUUGAAUUUUUAAAAUUGCAACUUGUGUUAGAGCUGAGCUGUUCACACAAUUAAUACAGUUUUGACUUUGGUAAUUUUAUAGUCAAUGGACUUCAUUUUUCUUAUAUUUUAAUAUUUUUAUUCAUUAUUCUGCUGUGGUUUAAUAGAUUUACAAAAGCUGAUCACCUUUGAUUUAGUUGUUAUAUUAUAAUAAUAUCCACAUAUAAUCUUUUUAUUACUCGAUAUAAAAAUUUAAGAUGUGUUUGGACAAUAAAAUUAUAAUUAUUAGACAGUAAUUAUAAAAAUUACAAAAAAUUUUAAGUCAUAUGCAUGUUUCAUUGAUGGGAUGCAUUUACUAUUUUAAUUUUUUUAUAUCAUGUUUAGUAAUAUAUUUUGUAAUUAUAUAAUUGCUAAUUUGAAAAUUUAAAAAAUCUAUUAGUUAUCAUAAAAGUUAUUAGUUUCACUUUAAAAAAUUUCUCUAAACAAUUAAAGAAUUUAAAAUCAAAUCAUCAUAUUGUAUGAUAAUCCAAAGAAAAAUUAAUAUUACGAUUAUUAAUAAAAUUAACAAAAUUUUUUUUUAUAUACAUGCGAUCUUAUCUAAUUACUUUAACAUUCCAUAUUUAUUUAUUAGAUUAUUCUCUUUCAAAUGUAAAACAUAUGCUCUUUAUUGUUUCAAUUGAUCAUUGACCAACUAUAAAUAAUCAAUAAUAAAAUAGAUGUAACUUAAUUAAAUUUAUAAUAAACAUUAAGUAAUUAGGAGGAAAGUAUGUUUAUAAAUGAAAUUUCUAGGUUAUUUAAAUAAAUUUAAUGAUUAUAUUUUAGAAAUAAAAUAUAUGUACUAAAAUUGAAAUCUAUUAGAUUAUUAUAUAAAAAUAAUUUUUUGAACUUAAAUCAGCUUGAAUAUAUUACAGAAAUAUAAUUAUAUUUAAAUCUAACUAUAAAGUGAUUUUUUUUUAUAGCAAAAAGUCACUUUUCAUUAAUGCUUUUCGGUUUAUGGAUGAACUAAUGGGAUCAGCAUUACCGUUGUCUACUUUUAUUAUUAAAAAAUCUUUAUUUCAGGAAAAGCUAAAUCCUUUUAGUCUAAGUUUAUUCAUGAAUUAAUGGGGUCAGCAUUUAACAUUUCCUUAUUCUUAUUACUUCCUCACCCUCCAACUUGUGAAGAAACAAAGUUAUGGCUGCAAGUGAAAUUAAAAACAAAUUAAGAAUCUAGUUUUUAUUUAUUUAUUAUUUUAAUAUGUUAUAACAAUACAAGUCAGUGGUUUAGUAGUAUUUUUAGGAAAAUUAAUAUUUGAUGAUUAAUAGAAAUCAUGAAUAAUAAAAACAUACAUAGUACAAUCCACAAAUUGAUGCAUAAAUGUAAUAUUUGUAGAGUAAUUAGAAAAAAAGAGAGAAAAAUUAAUUAGAGGUAACAACAAUAUUAGAAUAAUUUAAAAAUAAAUUAGAGAUGCAUCACCAUGAUUAACCGCUGAAAAUUGUAUCUUAUUCUCGUCAUCAUCGAACUAGUCUAGUGAUAAUAAUGAACUCUAGUCAACUAAGAAACCAUUACCGAGAGUCCCACCGCAUUAGUGAUGUACAAAAUGACAAAUCUCAAAUGUUUUAUCUUGGAGUCCAAUGUUACAAAUAUCAUCAUUAUACUCUAUCAUGAUAAAGACUUUCGAUAAUAGUUUUCAAUAGAUUUGACAGUAUACUUAUCUUGAUAAAUCUUAUAUAUAUUAGAACACAAUUUAAAAUUAAAAAUUAAGAGGAAACGGAGUGGAUUGAAAUUAAAAACAAAAAGAAAAAUCAAAUAAUAUUGUUGAAAAAUCACGACCGUAGGCCAUAAAUAAAAACUAAGAUUUGUUUUGAGAAAGUGUUCUUUUUAAAGAAAUAAAUGAACAAAGUAUUUAGCUUAUAUAAAAAUAGUAAUAGUAAAUUAAGGAAAAUAUAUAUACGUAUAUGCACAAUGGAUUGGUGAGUCAGUCAAAUUUAUAUCCUACAAAAACCAAAGAAAGAAAUUCAAACUCAUUGAAUGAUAUAUAAAUAUUAGAGAUAGAAGUUGAAAGGCGUUUCCCCCCUGAGGAUAUGAAUAGAAGAAUGUUGCAAGUGCAGAUUUUGUUGAAAAUAAAAAAAAUGGAUGACUUUGGAUUUAUUAGUCUGAAAAGAAUGGGGUGAGAUGAAAAUGGAAGCAAGGUUAGGGUUGAAUAGUUUAAGAAGAAGUCAGAUAUAUAGUUUAAUUCAAGAGAAAUGGAUUGCUGAUCAACUAACCCCAAAAUUUAUAUAUUAAUAUUAGUGCAGCGCCAAUCUGUUCUUAUAAUGGCAAAUGAUGGAGCAUUAGGUUCUAAAAUAAGCCAGAUUUAUUUUAAUGAAUGAGGCACCAUCUGGGUUAAGCCAUUUCAUCCCUACUAUAUAUUAAUCCUUUCUUCUAAAAGAUUGUCCAUUCAUUUAAUUAACUAAUAUUGAUAGGUGUAGUAUGUAAGAUGAAUGCCAACUUUUCUUUUUCUUCUGCGGAACACACCAUCCACUACAAAUAAAUAAAAGAAAAAGAAAAAGGCUGAAAAUUUUGAUUACAUCCACUAGAGAAAUUCAUCAUCAUUUGUCUGCAAAUAUAUAAAAUGAUUUAUUUCAACUUUUUUCUUAUGGAGCUAAUAUUAUUUUAAAAAGCAGAGAGAAAGUUUGAAGUUCAACAAUCCACAGCAGUGAAGAAGAUUCGUUGGUGUUAUUUGUAAUUUGCCUCCACCCCAACAUUAUGCUCACAAUCACAACUUAACAUUUACAUUUGAGCACUAGCAAGUCACUAAACCUCAUUCCUCAAAAUUUAUUUAUUUAUUUAUGAUACAAAUAAUGAGGCUUAUGGUGCACAUUUAGUUUAAAUUAUGGCAAGGUCAAUCCUCAUAAACUAUUAUUUCGUUUCAAUAUAACCUAAUUAUGAGGUGGCUUUUGAAUAUACAUUGAAUGGGUAGACACGUAUAUGGGAUGAUGAGAAUUGUGGUGAAGGGAAACUAUUUGAUGCUACCCCAACUUUUAAUGUCUCCUAAUACAAAUAUGUUCCAUUCAACAUCUGACCCAAACUGUUUUAAUUAUUGAGAAGGAAUUCGAAGUCAACUUAAGCGGAUUCAAGUAUUUGACUCUGGUAAAUAAUUGAAUUUUAUUUUAUUUUUCUCUCCAAAUAUAUAUAAAAAAAAAGAAAUACAAAAGCUAAUGGAUAACCAUUUUUUUUUAUUUUUUGUGUUUUUAUUUCUGG
rnacentral:lncRNA from 1 species